AUUGAACGCUGGCGGCAGGCCUAACACAUGCAAGUCGAGCGGAUGAAGGGAGCUUGCUCCUGGAUUCAGCGGCGGACGGGUGAGUAAUGCCUAGGAAUCUGCCUGGUAGUGGGGGAUAACGUCCGGAAACGGGCGCUAAUACCGCAUACGUCCUGAGGGAGAAAGUGGGGGAUCUUCGGACCUCACGCUAUCAGAUGAGCCUAGGUCGGAUUAGCUAGUUGGUGGGGUAAAGGCCUACCAAGGCGACGAUCCGUAACUGGUCUGAGAGGAUGAUCAGUCACACUGGAACUGAGACACGGUCCAGACUCCUACGGGAGGCAGCAGUGGGGAAUAUUGGACAAUGGGCGAAAGCCUGAUCCAGCCAUGCCGCGUGUGUGAAGAAGGUCUUCGGAUUGUAAAGCACUUUAGGUUGGGAAGAAGAGCAGUAAGUUAAUACCUUGCUGUUUUGACGUUACCAACAGAAUAAGCACCGGCUAACUUCGUG
rnacentral:rRNA from 1 species